CUGAUAAACUGAUAUAUACUUGCUCUCUCAGUGCUCAGUUUUCGAGGAAACACUUGACUGCUUCUUUAUUUUGCUCACAGAGAGUCGGGCAGAAGCUCAUUUCUGCCGAAGCCUUCUGAUGAAUCCUCAGCGUGUUGGUCUGUACUCCACCGUAACCACCCUUGACUUUAUCGCCCACAUCCUCUCAGCUGUGCACUGAUAAGGGUGAUAUGUACUUGGAAUUGCACGAGUUGCAUUGGUGUCUCGAUGGUAAAGUAUCACUCAAAAAAUGGACUCACUCUUAGAAGCUCCAAGUUGACAAAUUGAACAAGACUCUACUUGUCAUUUCUCUAUAUUUGUACUCCUGGGCUUUGAAAGUUUCUUUUUCAGUGUCUUUCUAUUUCUCCUUUAUUCCCGAGGUCAGUUGAUAGAAGUUGCGGCCUUCGCUGUGAGGAAACGAGUGCCUGCUGCAAUAUUAAAGCAGAGCAAUUAGGCACCUGAAGCCCAAUGCUAAUGCAAGCAUGACACAAUUACACAAAUGAGGUGUUCGCACAUUAGAAACCAGAAAGUCACUCUUCCUCCUCGAUUUAUUCAUCUGCUCAAUGAAUGAGAGUGCCGGGAAACAAUAAAAAGGUGGAAGGGGAGACAGAACCCAAGUGUGGAGGACUGUCCAGCACUACUCUUUCAUUUUAAUUGGUACUAGAAAAAAAUGGCCUGCUAAUCAAGCGAAAAACAAUAACUGCAGACGGGUUUGGAACAACAAGAGGCAUGCGGCCAAAUAAACCCAGGGUUCCUUCUCUCUGAAAGCCAACCAAUCAGGAGAAAACCGAUCUGUUGUCUGAUUUGAAGGCUGAGGCUGGGAAAAUUGGCCUCAGUGUCUCAAAGGUCGUUCAGACUGCUCCAUUUAACAGCGAGGACCACUAGAGUCAUGUUCAACAAACAAAUCAAAUGUUUAUUCUGUUUGGAGUGUGGUCCAGUGAAGUGGCGGUGCCCUAUUGAGACGGAGUGCUGGGUAAUUGCACCUCUCAGUGUUCUGUUUCUCUCUGAGGUUUGGAGUGAGUGAUGAGAUUGUUGACCGUGGUGUUUCCUGGUGCCGCUAUUGUAUUGACCUGUGGAUAGAUAAACGAGCGGGGAAAGCCUUGUUUGCUGUGUUGGUCAUGCUUAUUUUUUUGUUUUUGCUUUCUUUUGCCAUGACAACUGUCCACUAGCUCCUUGUCAGUUGCUCAAUUACCACAUCACAUGGGUCGCUGGAGGCAGGAGAAACAAACAUAUCACACUAUUAUUAGUGUGUUGAGUGCCUUGUAAUAAUUU
ensembl:lncRNA